rnacentral:rRNA from 1 species
GCAUUAGCUAGUUGGUAAGGUAACGGCUUACCAAGGCAACGAUGCAUAGCCGACCUGAGAGGGUGAUCGGCCACACUGGAACUGAGACACGGUCCAGACUCCUACGGGAGGCAGCAGUAGGGAAUCUUCCGCAAUGGGCGAAAGCCUGACGGAGCAACGCCGCGUGAGUGAUGAAGGUCUUCGGAUCGUAAAACUCUGUUAUUAGGGAAGAACAUAUGUGUAAGUAACUGUGCACAUCUUGACGGUACCUAAUCAGAAAGCCACGGCUAACUACGUGCCAGCAGCCGCGGUAAUACGUAGGUGGCAAGCGUUAUCCGGAAUUAUUGGGCGUAA